rnacentral:rRNA from 1 species
CGGAGGAUCCAAGCGUUAUCCGGGAUCAUUGGGUUUAAAGGGUCCGUAGGCGGGUUUAUAAGUCAGUGGUGAAAGCCCAUCGCUCAACGAUGGAACGGCCAUUGAUACUGUAGAUCUUGAAUUAUUAGGAAGUAACUAGAAUAUGUAGUGUAGCGGUGAAAUGCUUAGAGAUUACAUGGAAUACCAAUUGCGAAGGCAGGUUACUACUAAUGGAUUGACGCUGAUGGACGAAAGCGUGGGUAGCGAACAGGAUUAGAUACCCUGGUAGUCCACGCCGUAAACGAUGGAUACUAGCUGUUCGGAGCAAUCUGAGUGGCUAAGCGAAAGUGAUAAGUAUCCCACCUGGGGAGUACGUUCGCAAGAAUG